CCUACGGGAGGCAGCAGUGGGGAAUAUUGGACAAUGGGGGGAACCCUGAUCCAGCGACGCCGCGUGAGUGAAGAAGUAUUUCGGUAUGUAAAGCUCUAUCAGCAGGGAAGAAAGAAAUGACGGUACCUGACUAAGAAGCCCCGGCUAACUACGUGCCAGCAGCCGCGGUAAUACGUAGGGGGCAAGCGUUAUCCGGAUUUAAUGGGUGUAAAGGGAGCGUAGACGGCGAUGCAAGUCUGAAGUGAAAGGCGGGGGCUCAACCCCCGGACUGCUUUGGAAACUGUAUGGCUGGAGUGCAGGAGAGGUAAGUGGAAUUCCUGGUGUAGCGGUGAAAUGCGUAGAUAUUAGGAGGAACACCAGUGGCGAAGGCGGCUUACUGGACUGUAACUGACGUUGAGGCUCGUAAGCGUGGGGAGCAAACAGGAUUAGAUACCCGAGUAGUC
rnacentral:rRNA from 1 species